GACGGGGGAUGCGAGCGUUAUCCGGAAUGAUUGGGCGUAAAGGGUCCGCAGGUGGCCCGGUCAGUCCGCUGUCAAAGCCUGGGGCUCAACCCUGGAGAGGCGGCGGAGACCACCGGGCUUGAGUCCGGUAGGGGCAGAGGGAAUUCCCGGUGGAGCGGUGAAAUGCGUAGAGAUCGGAAAGAACACCAACGGCGAAAGCACUCUGCUGGGCCGACACUGACACUGAGAGACGAAAGCUAGGGGAGCGAAUGGG
rnacentral:rRNA from 1 species